CAGACUUUGUGUGUAAACUGUGAAUGUGCAGAGUAACACGCUGUCAGAUAAAUGGAGGACAAUAACAAGUACAAGCUUUCCUUCUGAGAAUAAAGCAAGUAUUCAGACAUGUUACUGCAGUAAAAGUACUAAUAGCACAGUGUGAAGUUCCAGCAGCUGGCUGAGCAGAUAACUAACGUGGAGAGAAAACAGACAGACUCUCUGCUCCCUGAACUCAACACAAUAUGAAAAUGAAAAAGUGAAAGACUUACGUACUGGACUGCUCUGAUUGGAGGGUUUCUCACGCUGCAGCUCGACCUGGAAGACCUCUGGGACACCCAGACAUCUUAUCAUGUGUGUCGACUGAAACCUUUGUCUAGUUUCUUCAAACAGUCCAAAGAGUUGACGGAGAAGAACUCAGGUGAGUUGUUUCCUGAUGAGUCACAGCUCCACCUGACAGGAAGCAGAUUUUCACAAUAAGAGCUUUGUUUCUUCUCUCUGUGUAACUGUGGUUGUUGUUGUCAGUGUGUGUUUGUUCUUCCUUUGUCCCGUGAAUGCAACACGAGGAACUUUCCACACGU